rnacentral:rRNA from 1 species
GACGAACGCUGGCGGCGUGCUUAGCACAUGCAAGUCGAACGGAAAGGCCCUGCUUUUGUGGGGUGCUCGAGUGGCGAACGGGUGAGUAACACGUGAGUAACCUGCCCUUGACUUUGGGAUAACUUCAGGAAACUGGGGCUAAUACCGGAUAGGAGCUCCUGCUGCAUGGUGGGGGUUGGAAAGUUUCGGCGGUUGGGGAUGGACUCGCGGCUUAUCAGCUUGUUGGUGGGGUAGUGGUUUACCAAGGCUUUGACGGGUAGCCGGCCUGAGAGGGUGACCGGCCACAUUGGGACUGAGAUACGGCCCAGACUCCUACGGGAGGCAGCAGUGGGGAAUAUUGCACAAUGGGCGGAAGCCUGAUGCAGCAACGCCGCGUGCGGGAUGACGGUCUUCGGGUUGUAAACCGCUUUCGCCUGUGACGAAGCGUGAGUGACGGUAAUGGGUAAAGAAGCACCGGCUAACUACGUG